AGCAGCCCGCGGUAAUUCCAGCUCCAAUAGCGUAUAUUAAAGUUGUUGCAGUUAAAAAGCUCGUAGUUGAAUUUCGGGGUUAGUAGGUUGGUCAUGCCUCUGGUAUGUACUGGUCUCACUGAUUCCUCCUUCCUGAUGAGCCGUAAUGCCAUUAAUUUGGUGUUGCGGGGAAUUUGGACUGUUACUUUGAAAAAAUUAGAGUGUUUAAAGCAAGCUAACGCUUGAAUACAUUAGCAUGGAAUAAUGAAAUAGGACGUUCGAUCCUAUUUUGUUGGUUUCUAGGAUUGACGUAAUGAUUAAUAGGGAUAGUUGGGGGCAUUAGUAUUCAAUUGUCAGAGGUGAAAUUCUUGGAUUUAUUGAAGACUAACUACUGCGAAAGCAUUUGCCAAGGAUGCUUUCAUUAAUCAAGAACGAAAGUUAGGGGAUCGAAGACGAUCAGAUACCGUCGUAGUCUUAACCAUAAACUAUGCCGACUAGGGAUCGGAUGAUGUUAAUUUUUUAAUGACUCA
rnacentral:rRNA from 1 species